rnacentral:lncRNA from 1 species
CGGUUCUUCCUGUUUGUGCCAGAGACGUCUCUGAAACUAUCCGGAGACGUCUCGGCUGUCUCUGAUCUGUUUUCUUUAACUCAAAAUAUUCUUCAAUAAAUUCAUAAAAAUUAUGGGAACUUGCCUAGGCAUUUCUUAACAAUAUUCUUAAUAAGACACAUGAAUUCCUCAAUUAAAUUGUUAAGAUAUAAUGGAAUUUUACUCUAGUGUUUUGUAUUCAUCAAAAUCUAUUAGGGGGUCAACAAUCUCCCCCUUUUUGAUGAUGACAAAACACUGAGUAUAUGCAAAAUUUGAGAUUUAAACAUAUUGUUGCCCAGAGAUGGUCACCCAAGAGGGGGGUGAAUUGGGUGUUUUAAAAAACUUUUGACUAAUUAAAAAUAACACACACGAAUAUAUGCACUAAAGUAAAGAAGGAGGAAUGAGAAAGGUCAAUCGCAAACACAAGGUUUUAUAGUGGUUCGGAGCUUCCACUGCUCCUACAUCCACUCCCCAAAUCACCUUUGGAAAUUUUCACUAUAAUCCACGAUUACAGUGAACUCUUUAAUAAAGAUAACUUGAAUAUCCUUGAGUGGUUAAUUAUAUUAUACUAUGAAUUGAGUUUUAAGCACCUAAUGAUAAUUUGUCCCCUUCAUUGUUGAUGACAAAAAGGGGGAGUAGAUAUAUAGAAAGAACCAAUAUGGAUAUUGAGAUAUAAUUGAAAGGGGGAGUAGAUAUAUAGAAAGAA